rfam:Salmo salar isolate Sally breed double haploid chromosome ssa11, whole genome shotgun sequence.
UGCACUCACUACUGUAAGUCGCUCUGGAUAAGAGCAUCUGCUAAAUGACAAAUG